rnacentral:rRNA from 1 species
UACGAAGGGGGCUAGCGUUGUUCGGAAUUACUGGGCGUAAAGGGCGCGUAGGCGGCCGUUUAAGUUAGGUGUGAAAGUCCUGGGCUCAACCUGGGGACUGCACUUAAUACUGGAUGGCUUGAAUUCGGGAGAGGAUAGCGGAAUUCCCAGUGUAGAGGUGAAAUUCGUAGAUAUUGGGAAGAACACCGGUGGCGAAGGCGGCUAUCUGGACCGACAUUGACGCUGAGGCGCGAAAGCGUGGGGAGCAAAC